rnacentral:rRNA from 1 species
AUUGAACGCUGGCGGCAGGCUUAACACAUGCAAGUCGAACGAGUGGCGGACGGGUGAGUAAUGCCUGGGAAUCUAGCUUAUGGAUGGGGAUAACUACGGGAAACUGUAGCUAAUACCGCGUACCAUAGGAUGAACCCAAGUGGGAUUAGGUAGUUGGUGAGGUAAAGGCUCACCAAGCCGACGAUCUCGAGCUGGUCUGAGAGGAUGACAAUCCACACUGGAACUGAGACACGGCACAGACUCCUACGGGAGGCAGCAGUGGGGAAUAUUGCGCAAUGGGCGCGACCUGACGCAGCCAGGCCGCCUGAAUGAAGAAGGCCUUCGGGUUUAAAAGUUCUUUCGAUAUCGAGGCGUUAACUACAGAAGAAGCACCGGCUAACUCCGUGCCAGCAGCCGCAGUAAUAC